GUACUUCUUCGGAUCGCUCAAUUGCCCGGCGAGCAGAUAGCCCGGCAGCGACGACGCGAACCACAGGACGUACAGCACGAUGCCCCCGCCGACGAAGAACGAUGCAUCGGCGCCGCCAUGAAUAGCGCGUAGCGGCGAGCCAGCCGCCGUCGGUCACCAGCAGCAUCGAGGGAUACGACUGCCACCACGGCAGCGUGCCGAACCAUGGGCGCAGGCUGGCGCUCAUCAGCGAG
rnacentral:misc_RNA from 1 species